GAAUGUUAGUCGCAGGGCUGCCAUCAUCCCCACAGCUUGCUGGGAUCGCAGGGACGGGGACGUGUGGACCACUUGCGCAGCUCCACAUUUCAAAUGGAAAUUCCCUGAGCAGUAGAACCUGAAACUAGUGUGCAGGAAGCUGGCCCGGCGGCAGCUUUGUUGUUUAGGGGUUCUGGACAGCGUCAGCCCUGUAAAUUCACACAUCUUAGGUGGCAGCACAAGACGCCCCCUGCCCAAGCGGGGGCUUGGAGCUGGCAAGCAAUAGCUCCUUAUCUCUGGCCCCUAUUCCCAUAAAAUUAUCUCCCUUGAAAGCCUGGCUAAAAGGUUAUCUAGAGGGGUCAGCGACUUUGUGCUUGUGGGAAGGGUUUUCUCAAGGUUUAGGAUUCCUCUGGCUUUUCAGCCAGUGGCUCGGAAUACAGCAAAUCAAAAGUCAGUUAGAGAGCCACCUGAGGUAGCCAGAAAGAAGGUCAGGUAGCAGCUUGCAUUGGGACGUAUGGUGGGACCCCUAAAAAAGCACCAUAUAAUUCCAUCUGAUCCUUAUUUAUCGCAUCCCUAAGGCACCUCAGUGAAUGACGCUAUCCUUAAGGAAUUGUUCCGUGAAGUUCACGUCUUUGGAGCAGGCGGUUGAGCUUACCACAAAAUUGGAAGAGGUGCCUUGUUGGCAAUAUGCUAUAUUGAAUCGGCUGUUAGGCUGCUGCUGGUUCACCCGCGAGAUUUUAAGUGGUUGGGCUUUAAUUUGGAUGGUGCUCCUUAUAUUGAUAAGGCGAUGCCGAUGGGUUGCGCAAUAGACUGUGCAGCUCUCGAGUCCUUUAGCGCCUUUCUGGAUUGAACAGUGUGAGUCUAUACUCAUUUAACUGGGGGUACCAUUUUUUGGAUUAUUUUACUGGCUGGUUCUUGUGACACCAGCCUCUGUGUAGGCUUGCUAGACAUCCUUUAUUCCCUCUGAGGAGCUGGGUGUUUCAUAGGCAGUGGAUGGGUCCCCCUCUUAAUAUUUGGGGGUUAGCUGGAUACCGUUGCUCAAACAUCUGCUUGCCUGUGGGGAAGCUGUUUGCCUUCAAGGAAGUUAUCUUGUUAUACUUCUUCUGAAGCAAGUGUUGCUUUGUCAAAUCCUAUCAUUUGCUAGGUCAGUUAAAUUAAUUUUGCAUGCAGAUUGGUUGCCCCAGGCCGCCCCUUCCAUUCCUGCUUGGCCAGGCUGCCUGUGGCCCGAGGUCCCCUUACCUUCGUGUACGCUUACCAAGUGAGGUCAAGGCGGAUCUCAUGCGGUGGUUGCAGUUCCUAAAUGGAUGCAAUAGUAGUUCACCAUGGCAGGAUACCUUGAACCUGCACAGCGAUUUUCAGGUUCAUGCUGAUGCUGCUGGAUCUUUGGCCUUUGGUUUUUAUUUCAGGGGCUGUUGGUGUGCAAAGCCAUGGCCUCAAGCCUGGUGUGGUGAGGCUAUCAUGUGACCUAACUUUGCUUGAGUUUUCCCCAUUGUAGUAGCAGUUCACAUCUGGACCGAGGAGUUCAGUGACCGUCGGAUCUGCUUUUGGUCUGAUAACCAGGCAGUGGUGAGCAUCUUGGCAGAACAGUCCACAUGCUCCAGCAGAGUCUCCGCCCCUCCGCUCACGCUUUUGAGCUGCACUGCUUAAGGUUUAAUAUUGUGCUUGCUGCUCACCUGCUAACAGGAUCCUCUAAUGAUAUUGGUGACACUCUAUCUCAUUUUCAGAUGGAGUGCUUCAGAUCCUGGGCUCCAGACUCUCAGCUAUUGCCGGACUUUUCUGGACCACCUGUUGCACUUUGACAACAAUUAGUAAUUACAGGGAGUAGCAGAUUCCAUUCCCCUUCUGCUUUUAGCUCUUAUGAGGAGGCCUGGACUGAUUUCUUAGGGUUUAGUUGACAGCCCUUGGCCAUUCAGAGGAACUUGCCCCCAUCCGCUGAGCAGAUCCUGCAGGAUUUGGCACACUUGCUGCAGAUUGGAUGUGCUGUAAACACUAUCAGAAUUCAGUCCGCUGCAAUGUCUGCUAUAGUGAAGCUUAAUUUUUCAGAGACCCUUGAAAAAAGUUUGUCGUGCACAGGGCCUUGAACGGUUGGAAUAGGCUCCAACUUCAUAGGUUGGCGCACCUCUUCCAAUUGGGCCGAGUGGCCAGGACGCUCAGGAUCCAACCGGCGGCCAUUUCCUUUUUCUGCAAAGCCUUUUUUAAUAAAGACCCUUGCGCCAAAUUUGUGGUGCGCAAGGCUGUGGAAGGCUGGGGUAGCCUGGGCACUCUAUCCCCUGUGGUAAGGAAGCCUAUAACUUUUGAUUUGCUGACCAGCAUGCGCUCAAAGUUGAGGAGCAUUUGCUGGUUCAAAUAUGAAGCACGGCGUUUUUCAGCCGCCUUUUCCUUAUCCUUUUUUGGCGCCCCGAGGGUAGGUGAGGUGGUAUUGGAGUUCACCCGCGGCAGAGAGUCAAGGGGACUGCUUUUGCAGGACGUAACUCUAUCCCCUUUGGAGGUGGUCCUGUUUAUCCGGAAUUUGAAGACAGACCAGUUAGGCAGGGGUGCCACUCUUAGGGUGCCUGCCACUGGAAAUAAGGGUCCUUGCCCGGUUAAGGAUACCUCCAGGUAUUUGGAUCUCAGGCCACGG
rnacentral:lncRNA from 1 species